GUCAGUUACUGUUAAUAAUCAGGUCCUACAUUUCUGAGCAGACUUGAUAUAUUUUCAGGCUGUAGCAUUUUUAAUGCUACCAGAGCUGAUUUCUGUUAGCUGUGGCCCUUGAAGAAGUAGACCAAAGUUUUGUUUGAUAGAGGCAUCGAUUCACAACUUUAUCUGCCAAGACAAAGGAAUAUUUAGAUAUCAGCACACCAGCACUGCACACGUGGACAUGCUUCAAUAGGAAUUGCCUUUGCAAAUCAUUUUGUGUAACUUUCAAACUUAAAUAGUCGUAUUUUCCUUUAGUUGAAAGCACAACAAAUGACAUUAGCCCAUUGUACCAAUACAGGCACACUCUCUGUCACUGAAUAGUGAAGUAAAACCUGUGGGCCAUGAGUCCUUUUAGAGUUCUCUCUUUGAAACCCAAAUCCUGCAGGUCAGCAGAGAUAACUGUCAUGUGAACACAGAGGCUUGUUUUUCCAAAUAAUACGAUCCAUCUGAUUUCAGGUUUAUAGCAGAACUCUGCAGGCAAAGCGCCAUUUUGUCUCUAAUGUUCCUCAAAGGCUUGUAGGAGCAAGUCCACUCGGCAGCAGCCAUCUUGGCAACAAUUUCAUGCAGUUUUUCCAGUUAAAAAAAAAGAAGGGGAGAUAUCCAUAGCAUUAAAACAUUAAAACUUCAUAGACCAGUGCAACAACAUGUCUGGCUUGUUAUCAUUUAGAUCACACUACCAAAUGAUUCUUUGGGUCUAGUGGGGGACAGCGUCCAUCUUUGGUUACACUGAACUCUCCUACACACAUCUGUUCAGGAUCCAUUGAGUCUCUCUGAUGAAGCCUGGUUUUAAAUUUACACCUCAGUAAAGCCACAGUGCAAAAAUUGUGGCCAGCACUCAGUUUUCCAACGAUUUGGAUAAGUUCUAAGAUUUUACAGAUGAAUCCAAGCAGAGCUGAGAUCGCAUCUGAACAACAAAACAAAAACAUUAACAAACAAGAAAACAUCCCCCUUAAACAUGUCAGGACUGAUCUGUAAGUUCAAACUCCCCACACCGUGUCAGUGUGGACUCGCUGCGGGGGUAUAUAACUCCCCGCAGAUCCUCGUCUUCUGCAGAAGAAUCUGAACACAUCAGCGGGAACAGACGAACCUUCGCCAUCAUGUCCAGGAUCACAGGGAUCACGCUGCUGCUCAUCGUUCUGGUCAGCAGCUUGUGUGACAGCACAGAGUCUGUUGCUCAGUCUGGUGUGACCAAACUGGAUAUUCUCAGAUGCAGAUGCACCCAGUUUUCCAGAGGCAAGCUUAGGUGUCCCCAACCACUCAUGGCCACAGACAGCAAAGAGAAACAGGCUCUGAAAAAAUGCCUCUGCAGCGCAGGAAAACAAAACAAGCGUCCAGAGCUUCUGCGAUUCUGCCGUGUGAUCGACUCUGCUCCACCGCUCUGAGAUAAACAAGUCCAGUCACUGACUAACCAAACUUAAUAUCCUGUUACGUAUGACAUUAAUCUUGUUAUGUAGAUGUUUGUGAUUUUCUCUGAAAUUGUAAAUAAAGACAGAUAUUUUUUUAUUACAUACAGUCUCGUGUCCUUUUGUGUUUCCGCAUAUUUAACUGAAAAAGUCCUCAAUCUUGAAAACAACUAAAAGGAAC
ensembl:lncRNA